rnacentral:sRNA from 1 species
AACCACUAAGUUCACCUCCUCCCAGAACUUAGCUAGAAUGCGGCAAUCUCCUCCUCCCAUGCCGCGUUCGUCAUUAAAGGCCGCGCAUCCUCCUCCCGCGCGGCCUUUUUC